rnacentral:rRNA from 1 species
AUUGAACGCUGGCGGCAGGCCUAACACAUGCACGUCGAGCGGAGCGGCGGACGGGUGCGUAAUGCCUAGGAAUCUGCCUGGUAGUGGGGGAUAACGUCCGGAAACGGGCGCUCAUACAGCCUCCUCUCAGAUGAGCCUAGGUCGGAUUAGCUAGUUGGUGGGGUAACGGCCUACAAGGUCGACGAUCCGUACCUGGUCUGAGAGGAUGAUCAGUCAGACUGGAACUGAGACACGGUCCAGACUCCUACGGGAGGCAGCAGUGGGGAAUAUUGGACAAUGGGCGAAAGCCUGAUCCAGCCAGGCCGCGUGUGGGAAGAAGGUCUUCGGAUUGUAAAGCACUGUAAGUUGGGAUGCGGUACCAACAGAAUAAGCACCGGCUAACUACGUGCCAGCCGCCGCGGUAAUAC